UUCUUAAGUCUGAUGUGAAAGCCCCCGGCUCAACCGGGGAGGGUCAUUGGAAACUGGGGAACUUGAGUGCAGAAGAGGAGAGUGGAAUUCCACGUGUAGCGGUGAAAUGCUAAGAGAUGUGGAGGAACACCAGUGGCGAAGGCGACUCUCUGGUCUGUAACUGACGCUGAGGAGCGAAAGCGUGGGGAGCGAACAGGAUUAGAUACCCUGGUAGUCCACGCCGUAAACGAUGAGUGCUAAGUGUUAGGGGGUUUCCGCCCCUUAGUGCUGCAGCUAACGCAUUAAGCACUCCGCCUGGGGAGUACGGUCGCAAGACUGAAACUCAAAGGAAUUGACGGGGGCCCGCACAAGCGGUGGAGCAUGUGGUUUAAUUCGAAGCAACGCGAAGAACCUUACCAGGUCUUGACAUCCUCUGACAAUCCUAGAGAUAGGACGUCCCCUUCGGGGGCAGAGUGACAGGUGGUGCAUGGUUGUCGUCAGCUCGUGUCGUGAGAUGUUGGGUUAAGUCCCGCAACGAGCGCAACCCUUGAUCUUAGUUGCCAGCAUUCAGUUGGGCACUCUAAGGUGACUGCCGGUGACAAACCGGAGGAAGGUGGGGAUGACGUCAAAUCAUCAUGCCCCUUAUGACCUGGGCUACACACGUGCUACAAUGGACAGAACAAAGGGCAGCGAAACCGCGAGGUUAAGCCAAUCCCACAAAUCUGUUCUCAGUUCGGAUCGCAGUCUGCAACUCGACUGCGUGAAGCUGGAAUCGCUAGUAA
rnacentral:rRNA from 1 species